rfam:Pteropus alecto contig66159, whole genome shotgun sequence.
GCCAGGCACGGUGGUGCACACCUAUAGUCCCAGCUACUUGGGAGGCUGAGGCAGGAGGAUCGCUUGAGCCCAGGAGUUCUGGGCUGUAGUGCGCUAUGCCGAUCGGAUGUCCACACUAAGUUUGGCAUCAAUAUGGUGACCUCCCGGGGGCGGUGGACCACCAGGUUGCCUAAGGAGGGGUGAACCGGCCCAGGUCAGAAAUGGAGCAGGUCAAAACUCCUGGGCUGAUCAGUAGUAGUAGGAUCGUGCCUAUGAAUAGUCACAGCACUCCUGGCCUGGGCAACAUAGCAAGAUCCCGUCUCUA